rnacentral:lncRNA from 1 species
UUUUUUUUUUUUUUUUUUGAACAAAAACAAACCGAAAGGGUGGCUGGGAUUUGUAGUCCUCACUGGCUUCCUGGCCUACCCCUCUCCGGAAGAAAAUGGCUGCCUCAAGUGCUUGGACCACAUUUCCCGGAGUGCCCCGGGCUCCUGUUUUCCGCCCACUUUCUUCCGUACCCCGCUGCGCUCCAAGCACGGUAAAGAAGGGGGCGGGAAGUCGGUCAGAAAAAGAUGGGGCGGGGUCUCGCGAGGUUCGGGAACUAGCGGAGGCCUGAGGGUUUCUGGGAGGUGGUGCUGGGAAGGGGCGGUGGCUGGACUCCCCCCUGGCCGCGCGCGCGGUUAACCCGUUCAAAGCUUUUUUUUGAUUCUGGUGGCGGGUCCAGUGCGGUUUCGGAUCUGGAGUUGGUAGUCUGCUACCCUGCUUCCACUGCACCAUCCCCCACCGCAUACACAGUUCUCUUCUGGACUUCUGGUGGGUGACAAAAAGCAGGACUUUUCUUUUUGGCCCACCCUUAAAUGAGUCAACUGGCGCAUAGUAAUAAGCAAAGAGACACUCAUAUCAGUAAAACGGUUAUUGCACGAUUGACCGACUUAGGUGAUUAACCCAUUUCCUCUUGUAAUACCUCUGUGUGUUUGCAGAGAAUGCACCUGCAGUUUCCAGCAGCGUUGCCGCCAGGUGAAUUUGAUGAUCCGAUAGUAGGUAAACACUGAAGGUCCAUCCACAGAAAUCUAAAUGCACCUGAGUGUAUAUUUAGACGCAGUUGCCCGGAGAGAGGUCAAGUCCUAAUGUCAGCCAACCUAGAUUUAGAAUCCUAGUUGUGACUCCUUGACUACUCCUAACCCCGCUGAGCCUGUUUGAUCAAUGUUAGCAUAGUAUCCCACAACCUUGAUGGGGUACAAAUUAGCAUGAAGUAUCUAGAAGAUGGGAGAGAAUGUGGAAGAUCCUGAUAUUAGGCUCAUGUAAUUUGGCUUCUGCUGUAGAAUAAAUGAGAGCUGUUAUUACU